AUUGAACGCUGGCGGCAUGCCUUACACAUGCAAGUCGAACGGCAGCACGGGGCAACCUGGUGGCGAGUGGCGAACGGGUGAGUAAUGCAUCGGAACGUACCUUUCAGUGGGGGAUAACGUAGCGAAAGUUACGCUAAUACCGCAUAUUCUGUGAGCAGGAAAGCAGGGGAUCGAAAGACCUUGCGCUGAUUGAGCGGCCGAUGUCAGAUUAGCUAGUUGGUGAGGUAAAGGCUCACCAAGGCGACGAUCUGUAGCGGGUCGGAGAGGAUGAUCCGCCACACUGGAACUGAGACACGGUCCAGACUCCUACGGGAGGCAGCAGUGGGGAAUUUUGGACAAUGGGGGCAACCCUGAUCCAGCCAUGCCGCGUGAGUGAAGAAGGCCUUCGGGUUGUAAAGCUCUUUCGGCCGGGAAGAAAUCGCACGGGCUAAUACCCUGUGUGGAUGACGGUACCGGAAUAAGAAGCACCGGCUAACUACGUGCCAGCCGCCGCAGUAA
rnacentral:rRNA from 1 species